CAGCCGCCGCGGUAAUACGGAGGGGGCUAGCGUUGUUCGGAUUUACUGGGCGUAAAGCGCACGUAGGCGGACUUUUAAGUCAGGGGUGAAAUCCCGGGGCUCAACCCCGGAACUGCCUUUGAUACUGGAAGUCUUGAGUAUGGUAGAGGUGAGUGGAAUUCCGAGUGUAGAGGUGAAAUUCGUAGAUAUUCGGAGGAACACCAGUGGCGAAGGCGGCUCACUGGACCAUUACUGACGCUGAGGUGCGAAAGCGUGGGGAGCAAACAGGAUUAGAUACCCCAGUAGUCCCUGUCUCUUAUAU
rnacentral:rRNA from 1 species